GGGGCUGAAGGGGUCGCAGCCCCUCCAGACGCCCCCAAAGCCCCCCUGUCCCCACAGAGGGGUCCCGGUCAUGGCGGUGCAGGACCCCCGGCCCAAGCCCAGCAUCUCCAUCAACAACCUGAAUGAGGAGAUCAAGAAGGACGGUGGGGGGGGCUGGGGGGUCCUGGGGGGUCUGAGAGUGUCCCUGGGUGUCCCCAGGGGCUCAGGCUGUCCCCUGGGUGUCCCCAGAGCUGGAGCAGUGUCUGUCCCCAUUGUCACCUGUCCCUGUGCCAAGUGUCCCUCUGUCCCCUGUGUCCCCAGAGCUGGAGCAGUGUCUGUCUCUGUUGUCACCUGUCCUUGUCCCCAGAGCUGGAGCAGUGUCUGUCUCUGUUGUCACCUGUCCUUGUCCCCAGAGUUGGAGCAGUGUCUGUCUCUGUUGUCACCUGUCCUUGUCCCCAGAGCUGGAGCAGUGUCUGUCUCUGUUGUCACCUGUCCUUGUCCCCAGAGCUGGAGCAGUGUCUGUCUCUGUUGUCACCUGUCCUUGUCCCCAGAGCUGGAGCAGUGUCUGUCUCUGUUGUCACCUGUCCUUGUCCCCAGAGCUGGAGCAGUGUCUGUCCCCUCGCUCUGUCCCCUGUGUGUCCCCAGAGCUGGAGCUGUCCCUGUACCCGUUGUCCCCAUUGUUGCCAGAGCUGAAGGAGUUCCUGUCCCUGCUGUCCCUGUCCUUGUCCCCAUUGUCACGGUGUCCCCAGAGCUGGAGAAGUCCCUCUGCGCCAUUUUCUCGCGCUUUGGGCAGAUUUUGGACGUUUUGGUGUGGCGCAGUCUCCGCGUGUGGGGCCAGGCCUUCGUCACCUCCAAGGAGAUGAGCAGCGGCACCAACGCCCUGCGCUCCAUGCAGGGCUUCCCCUUCUACGGCCAACCCGUGCCCAAAGCUUCCCCUGCUAUGACAAGCCCAUGGUGAGACAGAAAUGCUGGGGGAAAACCCUGGAAUUCUGGGAAAAAAACCCAAAAACCCUGAGGAAAAGAACCAAAUCCAACCAGGAACCCCCCAAAGCUUCCCCUUCUAUGACAAGCCCAUGGUGAGACCCAAAUCCCUGGGAAAAUCCUGACAUUAGGGAAAAUAAACUGAAAUUUUGGGAAAAAUCUUGAAUUCCUGGGGGGGAAAAACCCCAAAAUGCAGCCUCAAAUAUCCCCAAAAUCCAACCACUGCCCCCCAGAGCUUCCUCUUCUAUGACAAGUCCAUGGAGAAAGAGAAAUCUGUGGAGAAAUUGUGGAAUUUUUUUUUUUAAUUCCUGAAAUUCUGGGAAAAAACCCAAAAUCUUGGGGAAAAAAACCCAAAUCCAGCCUCAGGUAUCCCUAAAAUCCACCCUACAACCCCCCAAAGCUUCCCCUUCUGGGACAAAUCCACAAUGAGAGCAGAAUCCUGGGGGAAAUACCCAAAUUUGGGGAAAAUCCUGAGACUGGGGGAAAAAAGCCCAAAAUUCAUUUGGGAACCCACCCAAAACCCCGUGGGAAAUACCCAACCCUGAAAUCUGGAGAAGAAAUGGAAAUCCAGCCAGAAAUCCACCCCCAAUCCCCUGGGAACGACCCCAAAUCCCUGUUGGAACCUCCCCAGUUGCUCUGAAUUCUCCCAAAAUCCUUCUGAAAUUCCCCAAAUUCCUUCUAGGACUUCACAAAAUCUCUCAAAAAUGUCCCUGAUUUCUCUUGGAACUGCCCCAAAUCCCAUCUGGAGCCUCCCCAAAUCCCUCAGAACCCCUGAAAAUCCCUUGGAAAACCCCAAAAUCCCUCUUGGAACUGCCCCAAAUCCCAGAGAAUUCCCCCAAAGCCCUCAGAAAGCCCCAAAUCCUGCCCAGAUCCCCUCUGAAUUCCCCCAAAGCCCUCAGAAAGCCCCAAAUCCCCUCUGGAACCUUGCCCAGAUCCCCCCAAAAUCCUCAGGAACGACCCCAAAACCCCCUGAGCCGUCCCCAGAUCCCCCUGGACUGAUCCCAAAUCCCCUCUGGAAGCAGCCCACAGUCCCCUGGCACCGGCCCAAAUCCCCUGUGGAACCUCCCCGAAUCCCUUGGGCAGCCCCAAAUCCCCGAGAAGCCCUGGGCAGCCCUGGGCAAAGCCCCAAGUGCCUGUGGGCAGUGCCCGCAGUCCCUGCUGGAGAUGCCCCGGGUGCCCCGCAGUGCCCGGUGCCCGAUGCCGGGAUGUGCCGGCCCAGCGGAUCCAGCGCGCCCCGACGGGCUCGGCCAUCCCGGCCAAGGGAAGGGAAUGUUCGUGGGGCGGGAGCGGGAGCGCCACCGGGACAAGCGCAGAGCCAAGGGGGGAGAGGCCCCGGCCCCAAACAGAGCGGGGCCGCAGCGCAGGGAUGGUUUGGGGAUUGUUCUGCUGGGAUUUGGGGCACUCGGAGGGAUCUUGGUGGGGUUUUUGGGGUGGGUUCCGUGAGGUUUCGUUGGGGCUUGGUGGG